rnacentral:rRNA from 1 species
AGUGAACGCUGGCGGUAGGCCUAACACAUGCAAGUCGAACGGCAGCACAGUAAGAGCUUGCUCUUACGGGUGGCGAGUGGCGGACGGGUGAGGAAUACAUCGGAAUCUACUUUUUCGUGGGGGAUAACGUAGGGAAACUUACGCUAAUACCGCAUACGACCUACGGGUGAAAGCAGGGGAUCUUCGGACCUUGCGCGAUUGAAUGAGCCGAUGUCGGAUUAGCUAGUUGGCGGGGUAAAGGCCCACCAAGGCGACGAUCCGUAGCUGGUCCGAGAGGAUGAUCAGCCACACUGGAACUGAGACACGGUCCAGACUCCUACGGGAGGCAGCAGUGGGGAAUAUUGGACAAUGGGCGCAAGCCUGAUCCAGCCAUGCCGCGUGGGUGAAGAAGGCCUUCGGGUUGUAAAGCCCUUUUGUUGGGAAAGAAAAGCAGCAGGUUAAAACCCCGCUGUUCUGACGGUACCCAAAGAAUAAGCACCGGCUAACUUCGUG